GACAAACAAGAAGAAGAGCAACUAUUUCUAGCCAACUGUUUCGCAGUCAUAAAUUCAAGUGAAAGUUGGCUUAUUGAAUGUGGUUGUACGAACUACAUGAUCAGUGAUGAAAAGCUUUUCAGAGAACUUGAUCGAUCAAUUAAAUCAAGAUUAAGAAUCAGAAAUGUAGAAUACCUCCUUGAUCAAGGAAAGGGGACUGUAGCUAUUGAAAGUUACUAAUGUACAAAACUUAUAUAUAAAGUUU
rnacentral:misc_RNA from 1 species